AAAAAGAAACAUAAGAGAAACAAAAAAGUAUAGAGUCUCAUAAAAGCUGCCUUUAACUAUCCCUAGGAGACAGGGUGAAGGGACCCUUGCUAAGCCCAACCCAGGCAGAGGAGCCUGUGGAAGAUCAUCCCGUGUCUCAUCCCUCCUAAACCAUCCCCUUCCCCUUUAAGACCCAGGCUCAUCUGCAGGGCACGAGUGCGAUAUGGAAGCAAGCAGUGAACCCACAAUCUACAGCCCCAACUCAUAGAGCAGCCCCGAAGAGGUGCUGGGAGGAGUUCAGGCCUGUGUGGCCUUUGUCAUCCUGAGUAAUCCCCUCGUCAGCAGGAGAGGGGACCUACCUGUCCUUAACAGCCUUCCUGUGGAACCACUGCUUCCCCAACCAGGAAGAAAGGGAGAGGGAGUUGGGGCCACCUGAGCCUUUUCCUUCUAGCCUACAUAGACAGAGGCCUUGCCUUUAGCUGAGCUGGGACACUGCCCGUGUCCCCUCCCCUUGAGCCAGCCCCAUGUCCCCUUGCUCCAGGCCACCUUCUGUGUCUUAGUUGAAGUUUGUCCACCUGUAGUUUCAAGAUUCACAUAGAAGGCUGUGACCAUAGGUGGGAAGGUUCACAACUGUAUAUACUGCCAUUGAGGAGGGGAUCAUUUUCACUACAUAGAAGCUUCAGAAUUAGAGGUCCCUCUUUACCCAGGACCUGGGAGCGAAGUAGAUGUUUUGCCAAAAUACUUCUUCAUUCCUUUAAGAAGUACAUCUUUCCUAUGCAAGAGUGUCUCCUAUGUGCUUACCCAAGGUGGUUCUAGAUGGUGAGCAGCGUUUGGCUUAGAAGUGAUAUGUGCUCUGUCUGUCCGUCUUGUCCGUCUGUUGUAUACAGUGGGUGCCAUAUAAAACUGAUCCGUGGUGGUGCUUCCUGCCUGCUUCUGUGAGAUGGGCCAAGAUUCAGCCUAGAACACCAUGAUGCACCUUGCUGUGGUCAGCCUUUCUCAGGCCUGCAGGGCCUUGCACAUGUUUUACCUGGGGGGGAUCAUUUCCCUCUUCCCAACAGACAUGGAUCCACCUAGUCCUGGCCCCAGAUGUGUUGGGAUCUCUCCAGAUGUUGCCGAGGCUGGAGACCUCUGAUCUGCCAUUGCUCAGAUAGCCAAGGAUGUGGGGCUGGGGUUGGAGGGUUCUUCCUUCAUAAUACUUUCUAAGAAAACUUGUUCCCACCUGUUCCUGUCUUUGGCUCAUUUUUGGAGGUCAUGGGAAUGAAGAAUAGAUAAGACAGUAACACUAGCAGGUAAGGUGCAUCAUGUGUCCGCAAGCAAUUUCCAAUCAACAGGGGAGCCAGUGUACACCAAGCCAGUCACGACACACAGACACAGACGUGCAUAACACCUGGCCAUGAAAACAGACACACACCUGGAGGGACAGAGUCUGCAGUGCCAGAUGCCAAGCACUGUGUUAGGUGGUAGGACACAGGCCCCCUGAGGACUGGAAUUAUGGAGAAAGAGAGACGAUCAACACAGUUACGGUGGAGUGUGGCAAAGGUCUGUGCUAGCAAGGAGAGCACCUGGCUAUGGCUUUACUCAUGGGGAGAUCCAAGAAAGACACCAGGAAGGAGGCUGAGGGGGUGGAGUCAGCAAGGACGAACUUGGACAUUCGGUCAAAGCCUCUGGGCAACUGCAUCAUUUUGAAAACAUCAUUGUUACCAAGAAAUAAUAAUGAUUACCAUUUAUUUUAAUGUCUGUCAUGGAGCAGAUAAUGGGCAUAGGACAAGACCCCUUUCCCAUUCUCAACUCUAACCUGAACCUUCACUCAUUACUGAGUCACAUCAAGACACUCGAAGCAAAAUGGCAUUUAAAGUAUUUUGUCUCCUACUUUGGGGCAAGCUAGAGACUGGCAGAGUGGACAACUCCCAACCUGCAGGGGCUGGUGUGAUCUACAUCAAGGGUUGGCAAAAUAUGGCCUGUGGCUUAUUUUUAUAUGACCUAUAAAGAAUGGUUUUAACAUUUUUUUUUUUGCUUUUUGAGGCAGGGUCUCCCUUUGUAGUUUAGGGUGUCCCUGAACUCACUAUGUAGCUCUGGCUGGCCUCGAACUCACAGCGAUCCUUCUGCCUCAGCCUCCUGAGUGCUGGGAUUACAGACUUGUGCCACCAUGCCCAGCUCUGGUUUUUAACACUUUUUAAGGGUUGUCAAAACAAAACAAAAAGAAAAUGAGGUAGAGGUCCUGUGUGCUCACAGAACCUAAAAUGUUUAUCUUGUUCUCUAGACAAAAAGUGUGC
ensembl:lncRNA